UACGAAGGGGGCGAGCGUUAUUCGGAAUUAUUGGGCGUAAAGGGCGCGUAGGUGGUUUGUUAAGUUGAUUGUUAAAUUUCAUGGCCUAACUGUGAGUCUGCAGUCAAUACUGAUAAACUAGAGGGUGAGAGAGAGAAGUGGAAUUCUCGGAGUAGCGGUAAAAUGCGUGGAUCUCGAGAGGAACACCGUUGGCGAAGGCAGCUUCUUGGCUCACUACUGACACUGAAGCGCGAAGGCGUGGGGAGCAAACAGG
rnacentral:rRNA from 1 species